CGCAGCCUGAUCAGCGAUGCCGCGUGCAAGAAGAAGGCCUUCGGGUUGUAAACUGCUUUUGUCACGGAAGAAAUCCUUUGGGCUAAUACCUCGGAAGGAUGACGGUACCUGAAGAAUAAGCACCGGCUAACUACGUGCCAGCAGCCGCGGUAAUACUUACGGUGCGAGCGUUAAUCGGAAUUACUGGGCGUAAAGCGUGCGCAGGCGGCUUUGCAAGACAGAGGUGAAAUCCCCGGGCUCAACCUGGGAACUGCCUUUGUGACUGCAAGGCUAGAGUACGGCAGAGGGGGAUGGAAUUCCGCGUGUAGCAGUGAAAUGCGUAGAUAUGCGGAGGAACACCGAUGGCGAAGGCAAUCCCCUGGGCCUGUACUGACGCUCAUGCACGAAAGCGUGGGGAGCAAACAGGAUUAGAUACCCUGGUAGUCCACGCCCUAAACGAUGUCAACUGGUUGUUGGACGGCUUGCUGUUCAGUAACGAAGCUAACGCGUGAAGUUGACCGCCUGGGGAGUACGGCCGCAAGGUUGAAACUCAAAG
rnacentral:rRNA from 1 species